rnacentral:tRNA from 1 species
GAAGCAGUAGCUCGGUGGUAGGGCUCCCGCUUCGUACGCCGGAAGACCUGCGUUCGAUUCCCGGCUGCUUCC